rnacentral:tRNA from 1 species
GGGGAUAUAGCUCAGUUGGUAGAGUGCUUGCCUAGCAUUCACAAGCUUUUAUGGGUUCAAUCCCCAGCACCACCA